rnacentral:rRNA from 1 species
GAUGAACGCUGGCGGCGUGCCUAAUACAUGCAAGUAGAACGCUGAAGGAAGGAGCUUGCUCUUUCCGGAUGAGUUGCGAACGGGUGAGUAACGCGUAGGUAACCUGCCUGGUAGCGGGGGAUAACUAUUGGAAACGAUAGCUAAUACCGCAUAACAGUAGAUGUUGCAUGAUAUCUACUUAAAAGGUGCAAUUGCACCACUACCAGAUGGACCUGCGUUGUAUUAGCUAGUUGGUGAGGUAACGGCUCACCAAGGCGACGAUACAUAGCCGACCUGAGAGGGUGAUCGGCCACACUGGGACUGAGACACGGCCCAGACUCCUACGGGAGGCAGCAGUAGGGAAUCCUCGGCAAUGGACGGAAGUCUGACCGAGCAACGCCGCGUGAGUGAAGAAGGGUUUCGGAUCGUAAAGCUCUGUUGUAAGAGAAGAACGAGUGUGAGAGUGGAAAGUUCACACUGUGACGGUAUCUUACCAGAAAGGGACGGCUAACUACGUG